rnacentral:rRNA from 1 species
ACGUAGGGAGCGAGCGUUGUCCGGAUUUACUGGGUGUAAAGGGUGAGUAGGCGGGGCUGAAAGUCAGAUGUGAAAUACCGAGGCUUAACUUCGGGGCUGCAUUUGAAACUUCAGUUCUUGAGUGAUGGAGAGGCAGGCGGAAUUCCUAGUGUAGCGGUGAAAUGCGUAGAUAUUAGGAGGAACACCAGUGGCGAAGGCGGCCUGCUGGACAUUAACUGACGCUGAGGCACGAAAGCGUGGGGAGCAAACAG